GGGAGUGACAGGCUUCGAUGGCAAGAAAACGGAUUAUUGCAAGUAAAGUUUGCAGUUUUCUUUUCAAAAAUACUGCAAGGAAAUAUUUGAAAACGUAUUUCAAAAGGCUAAGAGAGCUUUAGCAAACGCUUUUGCUCCUCAGAGCCUUGCAACCGUUGCCGCCUAAUACGCGUCAACCAUCGAUUUAAUUGAUGCCUAAUAGAUUAAACUCGGUGUCGUUUUUUAGGCCGAAUCUUAAAAGCAGUCUCGUUUAAGAGGGCAGGUUUUUUAGAGACUAGAAGGGAGUAUUUUAUUUUUGUUCAAUUUUUAGAAAUAUUCUCUUAGAAUUUAAAUUGAACUAAACUUGUAGAUUAUUUUCCUUUUUUCCUUGUCAGACGCCGGUUCGACUCCGGCCACUUCCACCA
rnacentral:tmRNA from 1 species